AACGAACGCUGGCGGCAUGCCUAACACAUGCAAGUCGAACGAGACCUUCGGGUCUCGUGGCGCAAGGGUGCGUAACGCGUGGGAACCUGCCCUUAGGUUCGGAAUAACUCCCUGAAAGGGGUGCUAAUACCGGAUAAUGUCUUCGGACCCAAGAUCUAUCGCCUUUGGAUGGGCCCGCGUUGGAUUAGCUAGUUGGUAGGGUAAAAGCCUACCAAGGCGACGAUCCAUAGCUGGUCUGAGAGGAUGAUCAGCCACACUGGGACUGAGACACGGCCCAGACUCCUACGGGAGGGAGCAGUGGGGAAUAUUGGACAAUGGGCGAGAGCCUGAUCCAGCAAUGCCGCGUGAGUGAUGAAGGCCGUAGGGAUGUAAAGCUCUUUUACCCGGGAUGAUAAUGACAGUACCGGGAGAAUAAGCUCCGGCUAACUCCGUG
rnacentral:rRNA from 1 species